GGGGCGUGGCGCAGCUUGGUAGCGCACCUGCUUUGGGAGCAGGGGGUCGCAGGUUCAAAUCCUGUCGCCCCGAC
rnacentral:tRNA from 1 species